rnacentral:rRNA from 1 species
GAUGAACGCUGGCGGCGUGCCUAAUACAUGCAAGUCGAGCGAAUGGAUUAAGAGCUUGCUCUUAUGAAGUUAGCGGCGGACGGGUGAGUAACACGUGGGUAACCUGCCCAUAAGACUGGGAUAACUCCGGGAAACCGGGGCUAAUACCGGAUAACAUUUUGAACCGCAUGGUUCGAAAUUGAAGGGCGGCUUCGGCUGUCACUUAUGGAUGGACCCGCGUCGCAUUAGCUAGUUGGUGAGGUAACGGCUCACCAAGGCAACGAUGCGUAGCCGACCUGAGAGGGGGAUCGGCCACACUGGGACUGAGACACGGCCCAGACUCCUACGGGAGGCAGCAGUAGGGAAUCUUCCGCAAUGGACGAAAGCCUGACGGAGCAACGCCGCGUGAGUGAUGAAGGCUUUCGGGUCGUAAAACUCUGUUGUUAGGGAAGAACAAGUGCUAGUUGAAUAAGCUGGCACCUUGACGGUACCUAACCAGAAAGCCACGGCUAACUACGUGCCAGCAGCCGCCGUAA